AAGGAUAAACACUUUCCCCCUUGUGGCAAUCUGUGGUUAACAAGGUUCUUUUUUAUGCCAAUAAGUUAUUUAUAAUGGCAUUCAUAUAAGAGGAUUUUUCUUAUAGUAAAGUCUCCUAAGAAACAUAAAAUCUCAGGGGAAAUAUUCAUUAGCAGGAGUGAAAUGCAUGAGAUCAUGUGUAAGAGGAUCAUACAUAAAUAACUGCAUUUGUAAAUCCUAUUCUGGGAGUGGGAGGUAAUUAGGGUUUCACUGGGAAGGCUUGUGUGAGGAGCCAUUGACCCAUCAGCCCAUGGCAUUUGGAACGCUAUUGGCAGAACUCCCCCAGCACCACCAGAUCUGCAGUUAGGGACUGCUGUUGAAGGGGGAGGGGUGUACCGUGGAACAAUGUCUCCUGCUGAGGACGGGUGAGUGCAUCAGAAAGGGCCACUUUGUGACUGCCUAACUCAUGGUGACUCAUACUUUGACCUCAGAGGAGAGAGUCACAUAUUUCACACCAUUGCUUCUAACAUCUUUUUUAUCUAAACCUAAUGAUGACUAAAGAUGUGCCUCUCUGCAGGGCAACCACUUCCUCAUCUCUCCAGCUUCCUUCAAUUGCAGGCCAGCCCCAGAAGCCAGGGGGCUUCCUCCUUGUUCAGCUCCAACAGAAACCCCUGGCCAUUUGCCUGCUGAUGGGUAAUCUCUACACCUGUCCUGUAGGAAGUUGUGUCAACAAUGAGGACAUUGCCAGCUAAUAUAGAGCAUUGUGGGCGCCAAAACCAAUGAGCAAUGAGCCAGGCUGUUUGAAACCGGAAGUAAAUGCAAAGACUUCUUUAAUGAACAGAGCCACUCUCUCCCUUUGUGUUCUGAUUCCUUCCUCCUCCUCCUCUGCCCUGAACCCAACCAUUUUAAGGAAAAGAAGUUAGAUGUGCGGCUAUGGUUUUCCUGUCCACAGGGGCAUCAAAAACUACACUAACCUACACAAGUAUACUGGAAAGUUGGAGAGAGAGAAGAGACAUAAAUCUUUCAACUCCAUAGGAUAUGGGUAUCAAAGUCACUAUGACUACAUGACAUGAGCAGCUUUCCUCCUCCGUAGGCCCUCCCACCAUGCCAUUUCUGCUUUGGAGCCAAGCAGCCAGGGACUAUAACCAUGAGCCAAAAUAAAUCUCUCCUCCUUUAAGUUGUGGGAGUCAGGGAUUGUUUCUCAGAAAGUGACUAAGACAAGUAGAUUUAGUUUUUAGAUUGCACUGGAAAACUUAAUACCUUCCAGGCAGGAGAACCCAUUUGAGGCAUCAUCUACCUAUGGUCCUCAAGGGUUGAGGGUCCUGCCUGAGAGAACACCAAAACUUGCCAACAACCUGUUCCCCCUAGGGUACCUUAUACAUCUUAGAGACUAUAAUUCUUCUGUGGAAGCUAGACAUUAAAUUGGCUUCCUUCUGGAAACAUUAGGCACAGUCAUAAAAGUUUGUGAUAUUCAAGGUGACCAAACUUCAGCCCUGGAAGUGAUUCAAAUAACUUCACCUCACUGGCCAUGAUAUUAUGGAUGAUAGAAUCACCCAAGACUUCCUUCUUGUGCAAUUGCUGAUAUACUUGCUAUGCCAGGAGUAAUGCCUCC
rnacentral:lncRNA from 1 species